GAUGAACGCUAGCGGCAGGCCUAAUACAUGCAAGUCGAGGGGUAGAGGUUGCUUGCAACCUUGAGACUGGCGCACGGGUGCGUAACGCGUAUGCAACCUACCUUCAUCAGGGGGAUAGCCCGGAGAAAUCCGGAUUAACACCGCAUAAAAUCACAGUACGGCAUCGUACAAUGAUCAAACAUUCAUGGGAUGGAGAUGGGCAUGCGUGCCAUUAGCUAGUUGGCGGGGUAACGGCCCACCAAGGCUUCGAUGGCUAGGGGAUCUGAGAGGAUGGCCCCCCACACUGGUACUGAGACACGGACCAGACUCCUACGGGAGGCAGCAGUAAGGAAUAUUGGUCAAUGGGCGCAAGCCUGAACCAGCCAUGCCGCGUGCAGGAAGACGGCCCUCCGGGUUGUAAACUGCUUUUAUUCGGGAAUAAACCUGUCUACGUGUAGACAGCUGAAUGUACCGAAGGAAUAAGGAUCGGCUAACUCCGUGCCAGCCGCCGCCGUAA
rnacentral:rRNA from 1 species